GACAUCCUGUCCUACGAGUGCAGAGCCAACCAGCCCAGGGGAUGGUUGGAUGCCUGUCGGAUUCUGAUCUGUGUCGCCUUUACUCUGAACUUCAUUGGAUUUAUCAUGGCUACUUACGGAAUACAGACCACGAACUUUGGGAUGAAAUACAAAUAUUACAACAUCUCAAUUAUCGUUCUGUUUCUCGCAGUAAUUCCUGAGUUGAUUGCUGUGAUCAUGUUUCCUGUUAAAUACAACGAGGAACUCAAUGGAGCCGAGUGGUACGUGGGUUGGUCCUAUGUGGCCGCUGUUUUGUCCGCCAUUUUGGUUCUUAUAGCUGCCAUUUUACUGUUGAUUGAUCGAGGAGCGGACGAAUCUCUGAUCAGAGAAAAGACCUGUUACUAUAACGACGAAUCGAUAGAGGAAACCCUCGAGUAAUUUCUCCGUGACCCAGAGGAAAAGGUCAGUUAUCCGCCCGUGGGCAGAUCUAUACGUUCCGGGAGCGUUAACCGUGUGUUCGAAUGAUUACUCAUUUAAGGUUGGUUUCCUCCUCCCCCUUCCAAAGAUGACGUCACUGUCGCUGUCCUACCUCAGACUCAGGUGCGAACCCGUAAACCCGCAGGUAUAUUAUGUCACGUUUCUGUUAUAAAAUGAGAUACAAGGAUAUAAUGUCCAAGUGCCACCGCAUCAACGAGAGUUCCCUUCAUUUAUCCGCGUUCUCUGAAAUAGGAUAGGACCCAUUUUCACAGUUCAAAACUGCAAUGCUACCACCUUCCAUCAUACUCAGAUGUAGCUAGAUGGUAUGCGUGUAUAUGGAGUUUAAUGAUGGUGAAAGACGUUCUAAAUUAUUGGGAAAUGAGGAAAGACUGUUUCACUGCAUUGAACUGGUGUGAAUUGUGAUUUGAUAUUUCAGAAUGUUGGAUGAUUCGUGUAGAUAUUUUUUUCAUGGGUAUUUUGUGGUCAGCAACUAUAUUUUGUAUUAAAUCUCUAUAAAAUAAAUUAUUUAAAAACCUC
rnacentral:misc_RNA from 1 species